ensembl:lncRNA
GAAAAGGGAGGGAGAGAGGAACAAGUGAGGAAGAGAGAAAAGAGGGAGAGAGAGAAAGGGAAGAGCUUAGAGCUGUACUGAGAGGGAAAGAAGAGACACGCCAAACAGGAAGUGAAAUAAGGGAAAAGAAGACUUUGGUAGGAUGUAAAGGAAUUAUAUGCCAGGAGUGCUAACCGGAAUCCUCUUUUUUUUUCUAGAAGAAAUGAUAUAAAGAGCAAACAGAAUAACUGAAACAGGAGAGAAAUUUUUGCCUGGAACUGCCGUCAUUCUCCUGCUCCUCUGUACCUCCCUCGGACGUUGAACCCUGUUGAACCCCUAAUGCUUGGAUACAUCUAUCAUAUCCAUGUGCUCCUGAAAGUUUCUGAAUCAACAGACGAAAAGAAAUGCGAAAGAACCAGGAAGAAGCAUGAACUCUUUUUUGAAUCUUCAAACUUGGACCAUUCGUAAGGUAUGAAGUCUCUAAGGGGUUUGUACCUGUAGCGUGCUGAGGGAUGUAUGCAGUUUUGCUUGACAAAGUGAGAUUCACUUCAAGUUACUUAUAAUGAAAGAUUCAUGCAGACAGGCAUACUGGAAGACAACCCCAUGCUGUCCGAUGCCUCGUAACACCGGCAAGCACAUAAAGAAGACAAGAUUUUAGCAUCUCUGCAAGACCAAACUGACGACUCCACAAGGUUUGGCUAAAUCCUGAGAACAAUCUCUUUCCCUAAUCUUAUGACAGACUACAAGUUUUAGGAACCUCUCAGAAGCCUGCUGUGUGGGAAAGCCUUUCCACUGCGCACUCAGAAAGAAAGAGAAGACCUCAGAGGCAUAGUGAACAACAAUAAUAAUAAUAAGAAGAAGAAAACGAAGAAGAAGAAGAAUUAAAGAACCAGGAGAAAGGGACAGACAGCCAGAGCUGGCUGUGGCAAGAACAAGGGAGCAGGGGGAAAGGGUGAAGAAGAGAUGGGACUUCAUGGGCUUUUGUGAAAGCUUGAAAGAAUGGAAGCAGCUCCAAAAUAAAAAGCAGAACAGGGAGUCCCUGCAAUCCCCCUGGUACAAUGCGUGCAGGUGUGGUGCCCCCUGGAGGUGGAUAUCACUGAUGAUAAACAUGCUCCCCCAUGGCCUUGCUCACGCGUGCCAGGCCAUCGAGGAGGAGCAGGACAACGACAGAGAGGAGAGGAUCUUGGCUAUCCUGGGAAUAGUUGGCACCAUUCUCAACCUGCUGGUGGUCAUCUUUGUCUACAUCUACACCACCAUCUGAAAACUGGAGUGGGAGAAGAGCCAUCCAAAGAUCUGAGAGGGAAAAGACUGGAAAGAUUUGGAUUAGUAUAUACACUCAGUGAGGACAGGAGAAGAUGAGAAGAAUGGACUAAUGGACUACUUCAUUUUCCAAAAUAUAAAUAUCAUUCACAAUCAUCAUUCAUGCAAAGUAAAUCUGAAUAGUGUCCACCAUUUUCACCAUUAAUUUAAAAAACUCCAUGUUUGAACUAUU